CUAAAGUUAUAAUCAUAUUUGACUUCUUUAAAAACGCAUCGUAUAAAUAUUAAUUGCAAUGGUAACCAAGAAGAAUGGAUGGCAUUCCAUUCACUUCAACUAGACUACUAAAAAAAUUCAUCAGCUAUUUUAUAUGCUCCUUCGUAAAGAUACAUAUCUAUGUGUUUGAUGGCAAGCACAUAAAUACAACACAAUGACAUCCGGGUAUAGUUUCAACGUGUCACAUUUGGGAAGAAGCUGACCAAAACAAUCGAAGGCAGCUUCGGUAUCAACCAGAUGGCUCUUCCACAAUGAAGAAAAACAUCAUAUCGUGUGUCUAUACUGUCUUAACCAUAAUUCCAAACCCCUCUUGGAACAGCCGUUCAAGUGAGCUGGCAAUUAAGUUACUGCAGGCAAUCGAAUGCAGAUGCAAAAAGCCACCCGUUACCUCUUGACGCUUUUGUUCUGCAGCCCUUUGAAAACAUUUCAUCAAGGGCUCUUGUGCUUCUAUGCCAUCAAACAAGCAGGUUGUUAAUACUGGAAACUUGUGAGCUCCCAUCAUGUGUCCAACAGAAAGAAAACAAACCAAUUUCGUACAUGGAAAGACUGUUUAACCCCUCACUCCAAGUCAACUUGCUUUGCUGCAUUGCAUCUCGCAAGACCACCCUUGGUCGAUUGCAGUCCCAAGGCAUUAGCAAACAUCCUCUUUGCAGCUCCCAAGUGUUCCUCUUUUGAGUAUUCCUUGACACGAUUUCUACUUGAUCCAUUAGUAGAACUCCUUCCAAAUGGCUCAUGGGGCAAAUUCCUCUGAGCAGGUGAUGAUGCAUUGCAGUCAUGGUUAUUGCUCUUCGCUUUACGAAGUGGAUCGAUAUUUUUCACAGGCUGGACACUGGCUUCCUUAAGGCCUUCCAAACCAGAAUUGGGAUCAAUUUUAUUCUUGUCUGGAACAUUCAACUCAGUGGUCUGAACUUCAUGUCCUUCGCAAUUCUUAACAGAAGCAUCUUGAUUCCAUGGACUUAUUUUUUGGCCCAAUGCAUGAGCAAUCAUUCGACGGGCAACCACAGGCACACUUCGUGGCUUCUGCUUCUGAGGCUCUUUCAUCUCUUCCUCAUCCAUUGAAAAAAUUCGUUCACGAGCUGCCAAAUAAGCUGCUUCUCUCUCCUCCAGUGUAAGGAAAGGUGACUUUGCCUUCAAUACUGGAGGAGCAUUGUUUCUCCUCAAUAAUUGGUGUGAUCUUGUAAGAGGCUGAGAUUCUUCAUACUGAAACAAGAUGUCACUUACAAGGAUAGAAGGUCUGCAAUACAAAACACAGGUUAUGUAGAGAAGAUAAAGUGUAAGUACUGCCAAACACAGAAGCUAAGAUAGAAAAUGUAAUUAAAAUAUUCAUAUUCAAUAUUUUGCUUUCAAGAGUUCUUCUGAGAACAAGAACAAAAGAAUGGCCCUAUAAAGUUAAAAAACAUAGCCUUUUUAGGCUAAACUUUAACUAGUAGAAGUGCCAAAGAUCCCAAAUGGUGUCAUCAGUAAUGUAAAGCAACAGACUCAACAAUCCACCAGUUUAUGAUUGAAAUGUCGAAUGUUAAAAGCAUCCAAUUCAAAAACUUCAACAUUAAAUGCAAAGUUCAUACACUAUAUAAAACUAUGCUCAUCUAUCCACCUCGUCACAUAUUCAAACGCUCAUAUAUCCAAUUUUACACAACAGAAGUCAAUAAAAAUUGAUUCUUUCCCAAAACAAAUUGUAGGUUAGAGCUUUCUGUGUCUUCACAUACAUUGAUGUCUCUGAGCAUCGCUCUAAAACUAAAUGCCGCUCAUCUCCUUCACCAACAGACGCAUGAGCAAAUCUAGCACCAAACAAAACAGUAUUACGCUUGUAACCCCAAAUAUAUCUGCAAGGCGAUGCAGGAGAAGGCGACUGUAUGGAUCCAUUGGCUCCAACUCUAGGAUCCCAUCUGCACUGAAAUCCCAUAUUCUUCUUAGCAAUCUAUUUGCAAUGAGUACAAAUUCAAAACUAAGAGAUGACAGUAAUAAAAAGCUACCAUGUAUCAUCCUGAAGGAAGUUAACCAAAGACUCUUCCAUGGAAAGCACGAGAUGCUUGCAAGGAAGAUUAUCCCUCACAAGAAAAGCCAAUUCCUCCACCUUCAUUUACGACAAAUUCAUUAAUUCUAAAUUCUAAUAACCCAACUCUAAUUCCUCGCAUGAAAUUGACGAUACUUUUGAGCAAUUAACAUUAAUUUCCUGAAUUAGCAAAAAUUAUACUGAAAAAACAUAAUCAAUUGGCCAAUUACUCGUAUAAAUCAAGAGAAUUUCAGCUAAAAAAAUUGGAGAGAAAGCAGAUAGAUUCACAGAAUUUACCAUGGCAAAUUGGGUGACGCUCAUAUUGAACCAAAACUAUAAACAAUACACAGCAAAAUAAAGCAAAAACUGAGAAAUUUGCUAUCAGAGAGCGAGGGAGGGGUGGUUGAAAGGAAGAUGCGCUAGAAUCUGGAGAUCUUCAAGCCUGGUUAUGGUGAGUAAUACGGCGUCGUUGCCGCGUCCCAGACACAAGUCAAGCCCUUUUUUUU
rnacentral:misc_RNA from 1 species